UACGUAGGGUGCAAGCGUUGUCCGGAAUUAUUGGGCGUAAAGAGCUCGUAGGCGGUUUGUCGCGUCUGCUGUGAAAACCCGAGGCUCAACCUCGGGCCUGCAGUGGGUACGGGCAGACUAGAGUGCGGUAGGGGAGAUUGGAAUUCCUGGUGUAGCGGUGAAAUGCGCAGAUAUCAGGAGGAACACCCGUGGCGAAGGCGGCCACCUGGGCCUAACCUGACGCUGAGGCGCGAAGGCUAGGGGAGCGAACGGG
rnacentral:rRNA from 1 species